rnacentral:rRNA from 1 species
GACGAACGCUGGCGGCGUGCUUAACACAUGCAAGUCGAACGGAAAGGCCCUGCUUUUGUGGGGUGCUCGAGUGGCGAACGGGUGGGUAACACGUGAGUAACCUGCCCUUGACUUUGGGAUAACUUCAGGAAACUGGUGCUAAUACCGGAUAGGAGCUCCUGCUGCAUGGUGGGGGUUGGAAAGUUUCGGCGGUUGGGGAUGGACUCGCGGCUUAUCAGCUUGUUGGUGGGGUAGUGGCUUACCAAGGCUUUGACGGGUAGCCGGCCUGAGAGGGUGACCGGCCACAUUGGGACUGAGAUACGGCCCAGACUCCUACGGGAGGCAGCGGUGGGGAAUAUUGCACAAUGGGCGGAAGCCUGAUGCAGCAACGCCGCGUGCGGGAUGACGGCCUUCGGGUUGUAAACCGCUUUCGCCUGUGACGAAGCGUGAGUGACGGUAAUGGGUAAAGAAGCACCGGCUAACUACGUG